rnacentral:rRNA from 1 species
GACGAACGCUGGCGGCGUGCUUAACACAUGCAAGUCGAACGGUGACCCUCGGAGCUUGCUUCGGGGUGAACAGUGGCGAACGGGUGAGUAACACGUGAGUAACCUGCCCCUGACUCUGGAAUAAGCGCUGGAAACGGCGUCUAAUACCGGAUACGACACGCCUCCGCAUGGGGAGCGUGUGGAAAGUUUUUCGGGCUGGGAUGGACUCGCGGCCUAUCAGCUUGUUGGGUAGGUAAUGGCUCACCAAGGCGAUGACGGGUAGGCGGCCGAAGAGGGCGACGGGCCACACUGGGACUGAGACACGGCCCAGACUCCUACGGGAGGCAGCGGUGGGGAAUAUUGCACAAUGGGCGAAAGCCUGAUGCAGCGACGCAGCGUGAGGGAUGACGGCCUUCGGGUUGUAAACCUCUUUCAGCAGGGAAGAAGCGUAAGUGACGGUACCUGCAGAAGAAGCACCGGCUAACUACGUGCCAGCCGCCGCCGUAACAC